GAAGGCUCCUGUUUUGCGGAUCGACGCGGAGAAACGAAAGAAGUGGAGGGUGCGGACCCUUUUGCGAGCGGCGGAGAAAAUAUCCGGAGGGAGGAUGACGAUGCCGAUAGGUAGAUCGUAGAAAGGAGCAGUCUUGCUUCGUUACUGCUGCUCUCUUUCUCGAUCGUUUUUUGGGUUUUGGCGGGAAAGCGGUCUGAGGUGGGUGGCGAGGCCGGACUCGCCGGAGGUGGUGAGGGUGAGCGAAGCCUUGCCCGAGUCCAGCUUCCGCGUGCUCGACUAUGUCUUCUCGCAGGUACUCUGUUCGAACUUUGCCUCCUUGUUGCUCCAAAAAUCAAUAUAUCUUCUCUUCAAAAUGCGAUCUUUUUUUUUCUUUUUUGUUGUUUUAUUUGCUUGUUAUUUGGGGAGGGGGAAUUGUACAGAUGCUUAAAAAGUACAGUAAGUUUCGACUUUAAUUUGGAUUUGGUCCUCUUUUGCGCACUGCAACAUGUUUUUUCCUCUCUUCUUGUGAAGUUCAGAAUUAGUGAAUGGAGCAAAGAGGAGAAGAACAUACGAUCCACAGUUAUGGUUUACUAGAUAAGGGGCGCUUAAUGAAGAUGUGAGUUAAUCUUGUUAAUCUUCUCAACCAUCAAUGUGAGUGAUAGAGAGAGAGAGAGAGAGAGAGAGAGAGAGAGAGAGAGAGAGAGAGUCAGUAUUAUAAAGACUACGAGAGAAACCACCGCUUUGUAUAUAAUUUCUACGAACAAAUUAUUCCUUGGUUCUUCGAUCCCCACAUUCCUCUCUCUCUCUCUCUCUCUCUCUCUCUUCAUGUACGAACUGAUCAAGGUCGAAGAAAGAAGGUUUGGUCUAUAAACAAAUCAGCACAAGUUAUUGAAGACUGAAGUUCAACAUCAGAAUGGAAAUUAUGGUAUGCACAUGAGACAGCAUCCAUAGUCAACUAUUCAAUGGAAAUAACUUUGGUCAACUUAGUGGGUAGUAAACCAGAUUUUGUUUAUGGGUGAGUUGUGAACCUUUAAGUACUGAAUUGUCUAUCUUUUCUAUAAAUAGUGUUUUCUGAAAUUGGUCCAUUUAAUUUGUUUCUCUUUAGACCCAGGCAAGAAUAUGGCUCGGAGAAGUUCUGCAUAUUAGAUUUGAGUAGGAGACUCAUAUUGCCGACUUGCUUGCUGAUGGAGAAUUGCUGUACCCCUGACCUUUUUUCCUUUCAUCUUAUUUCUCACACCAAUGAUAUCCAUAAAAUCUGAUAUAGGGAAAUCAUGGUUACAAGGUAGUAUCUAUUCAUUUAUAUUCUUAACAUGGAACUUGAAUUGAUUACACAUGUUUUCUUUUAAAUGCAUGAUUUACAUAAGAUUUGGACAUGAGACUUUUUUCUCUAAGAACAUCUUAAAUUUUUCGUCAUUGUCAUUUCAUCUAAAAGCUUAAGCUAGUAGAUGGGCUUCGGCCUUUAAGGUGGAGUAGUUUUGGAGAAGAAGUUUGGAAUUCUGAUAUUGAAUGUUGCGGUAGAUGUUCUUCAUGUGCAAAAUCUCUAUAUGAAGCAGAGUUUCAAAUUGGAGGAAAGGAAAACCAAUCUUUUGUGUAUUCAAUCCUGGAACAUUGCUCGCCAAAAUCUUCAACUUUGUUACUCUUGUUGGUGGUCCCUCUAAAAGGUGCAGCAGCAUAAAAGACCAAUAUGAUAAUGUGGAAUUUGAGUGCAUAACUCAGCGUGAAGAAAACCUAAAUGGUAGUGCUGUGUUAGUGUUUAAAUUUCAUGAUGGAGAGUCCAGAUCGAAAAAUAUGACAUGGCGCCUACAUGAAAUAGAUGGCAAUGUAUCUCUUCUAGCAUAUAAUAAUUUUGAAGGGACAGAAAAAACAGUUUUCAUGACAACUUGAAUACGAAUGCUGCCAGUUCUGAUAAUGAAUAUGCAUUGCCAGAUUAUUCUAUUGAAGCUGAAUGGGUUUCUCCAGAUUUGACCUACCAAAACAUUCAUGAUGCUGAUAUGGUUCUUCUUGAUUCAGAGCUACCGGGUGCCUUAUUGAGCUUGCGCACCAGAAGUGAAGAUUCACUAUGGAAAGGUGGUAAAUAUAAACAUGAAAUUAUAACUUUUGGUCAGGCUUUAGAUUCUGGAGAAUCGUCUAUACCUACUUUGGAAGUUGUCUUGGAUGAAGCAGCAGACAUCCGAAGUGUUGAUUAACCUUAUCAUGACAAUAUCAGUGCUGAAAAUUUCUUGUUCCCAGCUGUUAAUUCAUCCAAAGAUAACACAAAGUUGAGUCUCAUAUCAGAGAUAACUUCAGAUGAACAUGGCACAAACAAAAAUUGGGAAAAUGGGGAUAUUUCCCAGAAUUACAGUUUGUGUACUGAAUUUAAAGAUGUAGGUUCAGCUUUUAGAACUAGUGAAUAGAUUCUACCAAGGCAGUUUGUUGAGCUUGAUGAUACUCAGAUAACAGUCUCUGAGGGUCAAGAUUUUACAGGAAUAUUAGAUACUUUCUUGAUGACUACAUGCUCUGCACCUUGUUAUAAAAUUUUAGAGGCAGAAAGAACAAUGCUUUUGGGCACAGCAAUGCCGGAAAAGGCAUAUGUUUAUAAUGAUGAUCUACCAAGGGAUACAAACCAGCAACUUAAUGAUUUAGAAGUGCGUAGAGAUGAAGAUGCCGUAAUUGAUAGUGUAUCAACUGUAAAUUGAGCUUGUACCAACUUGAUCAGUGCUUGGAGUGAAUUAAGACCAGACAACCCUGUCACAGAAAAUGAAUCUGAGAUGGUAAUGGACAUGGAUGGACAAAGUAAUAGUUUAUAUCAUGAUCCACAAGAAGCAAACAGAGAUUUAAUGGUUAAAGUUGGAUCAAACCUCUUAGGGAAAAAGAUUGGACAAAAUAGAUCCAACCAUCAUAAGGAGCACGAGAAUACCUUCGAAUCUUUCAGAGAAAGCAGUUCAGAUUUGAUUGGAUUGGAUACUAAUUAUGAGCAUUCAAUGUCUGCUUCUACCACAGAUGAUUCAUGCAUGUCAACCGAUUGUGACUAUACAGUGAACAAACUCUUCUUAUGGAACUAAAAAAUAAUGAACAUUUACAUUCAUCAGUACCCACUGCAGUGUUGUCUGUUCAUGACUCUAGUCCUCUGUGCCUGCAGCAUUCAGAUAAAAUUGUUCUAAACAAUGCAUACAAGACCUCCCCACAAAUGAUGAACAAUAUUGGAGGGAGAAAUAUCAAUAAUAACCUUGAUAAAAAAUCAAAAUGAGAUUUGUCGGUUGGUGACUGGAGGAGUUGAAGUGACUAAGAACUUUCAAGUACCCUGCAGCUGUUUCUCAAAAGAUGUUCCUUAUAUGGAAUAUAUGGGCUACAUCACCUGAACUCUUUGUACUUCUGAACCUGGUGAUUGUUCUGUUACUGUUCAUACUGGUGCUCCAGCAAACUUUUAGCGAUGACCACACUAGGACUAAAGCAAGUUCACCGUGCUCAAAUCCUGGAAUUCUAGCUGAAGAGAAAGGUGAUGUCUAUGUUGAGACAAACUUGCAAGUUAGGUAUCAAGCUCAUCAUCUCAUGCAUGAUGUUAGCAUGAGUAUAAACCACAGAGUUCCAGAUUCUACUGAAGAAAGAGACGAGGUGAAGCUGUGGUAAAAGCAAUGAGGGAACUGUAGCUGCAACAAGAAACCCGAGAAAGAAGGUGCUCAAGUCGAUCUCUGGUAGCGUCACAUUGAUCGGUGCACUGCUUGUUCUCCUUCAUCUGAGGAGAAAGAGAGAGAAAGAGAAAGUUUGCCGCACUAUUGUUUCUCUACAAAAUAAAGAAACAUGUCAAGAACUUUACACACAAGACAAGAUGGAGAUCGGAAGAAGCUUAAGCUUUAAGGCCAGAAUAGACUCCACUUGAAGCAGGAGUUGGUCUUCAACGUCUUGCUGUAAAUUAGAAAUAACAUGGAGAACGAAAUAGCUGCACAUCUAAUAGAAUCUACAUUGUCUGAUGACCAUACUUCAAGUGCUCCAUCAAGUUUUUGAGACACCACUUGCACUGUGUUUGACAAUCCACAACGUUGCCAUGGAAAGCUGCUGUGUUUGACAAUCUACAAGUUAUUGGUCAUUUUUUCAAUUGAUAGGUUUCUCUGUAGUGACAAACUUGAUGAUAUCAAUUACCAGAACUAUUAUUUUGACUACCACCAACAAUGUUCCGGAUUACAUUGAAAGAUAUCAAAGAUUGGCUGGAAUUCUCAU